rnacentral:lncRNA from 1 species
CAGAUAUGCCUUCGAUAAAGAAUCUGUUUAACUUGACUUAAUCUAGCUUGUCCCUAAACAGUGGGAUGAUGCUCUGAUCACCGUACCUUGAGAACACAUUUUGGAUCAGUUUUUUUUGUUUUUUUUUUUGGUACCAGGGAUUGAACUCAGAACCUUGCGCUUUCGAGGCAGGCGGCAGAACCACUGAGCUAAAAUCCCCGGCAAGAGAACACAUUUUGGAAACACUACUUCACAUGUUCAUGAUGACCUGGGGAGAGUAUCUGGAAGCUAUAAGAUUCCAGUGUUCUGCUGUAGCAACACAGGCACACUGAGACAGUGUGGAGUCAAUGCCCAGGCUUCUCCAUACCAUCACCUCCCCAAGCUCUGAGCAGGGCUGCUUCCCAUCUCUCAGCUGAGCUCUGGACCAUGGCUAUGGGAAGAAAGGACAGUGCCUUUCAUUGCUUGGACUAUCUUUCCCCCAUCAGGCCCUGGGAUGCAGAGUCAGCAGGACAGCUACAUGGAGAUUCUGGCUGUGUCAGACUGCAGGAAACAAGUCUGUUAAGAGCCCCAGAAAGUGGAAAUGGAGAAUCACAAGAUUCACAAGAUGAGAAUCACCUUUGCACAGGACAAGGGGAGAUCAUAGCGACUCCUCAGACCCAAAGCAGGCUGACAAGGAGGUAAAGCGGCUUUGCUUUUUUGUGGGACCCAAGUAUGCUCAGUGAGUGAGCUGAUUAUUUUCUGCUGAUUAGAGUGGAAAAAGAAAUGGCAUUUAUUUGUGGAAACAAACUUGCAGAAGCAGAGGUGAGCGGGAUUCUUCAGUGAGUGGGUCAUUGAUGCUGGCCUCAAGGCUUUCGGCCCGUCCUCGGUGACUCCCAGCUACAGGCAAGACCCAGCAGCAGAAGAACCCUGGGAACAGACUGUGUCCCCAGACCCUGGCUGCCUCCAGGGAUGUUCUUUCUAAUGCACCCAGAACACAAAUCACAUGGCUUCACCGUGACAGUUAUAAAUUUCAUCCACCAUGGAGAGUUGGAGGCAGGCGAUUUGUUGGGUCCAAGUCAAAGGUUACAAAAGAAUUCUUCAGAUUUGGGUGAUUUCCACACCUAUUAGGUAAGUUUAAACAUAUCCUUUUGCUUCUAAGGAAAACAGCUUGUAAAAUACUUGGGAGCUCUGGGGACAUCAAACAGCUCUUCGAGGAGUGCAUUUUAAUGGCUUGCUUGUAAAAGAUUCAGUAAAAGAAGCAGAAACAUAUGGUUUAAAUUUUUUUAAAUAAUACGAGGUAUUUUGUAGACAUCCUUUUUUUUUCUUUUUUCCUGAGGGUCUCAACACAUCUUUGAGUGCUUAUCCUAAAAAUACUCACAAUAUCCCUUCCACACAGACCCAGCGCAGGAGACUGCCAGGCUGCAGCCUCUCCUUGCUGUUCGACCUAGAGAUUCCGGCCUUGCAGGUUUGGGUUCCUUGAG